rnacentral:lncRNA from 1 species
CUUUGUGGCACCAGAACUUCCUUGCAGCUGAUGGAGUGUGAGCUUGGGACUACCCUAUUACUCUUGUGGGUUUUACCCAGAAGCAAAAGGAUUUCAGGCCAAGGGAAGUAGAUCUUUUCUUGUGCUAAUUUACAACCCGAAAUAGAUUUGUGUUUGAUUGCUGACAUUUACAACUGCUUUUUUUGCUAUAUUUUCUAUGUAUAGGAUUCCAUUUCUACCCUUUUCUGCUGCUGGCUCGGCUGUAAUGCCCUUUUGCCUGGAGGGAGGAAGAGGAACAGAUGGCAUGCAGCUAGGCAAUUAUACAACAUAGUAAAAGCAUGGUCAGGCUCAAAUUUACACAAAGAUGCCCAUGCUCAUGUCAUACUCUGGAAUGAUCCAGUUACAUAUUCUUGCUAGCACACCAAGGAAAACGAAAAACGACAGUGAGCAGCAAGUGACAACACACCUGGAGUUACAAAGACUAUCAUUUUCUAAGCUCUUCCUUUUUCUCUCCUCAUCAGUGUCUGCAUGUAAUGGAUGAUGUGACAAACAAAACAAAGCAAUACAAAAAACUCAAAGAGACAGUAAUAGAAAAAAAUAAUUGAUGCUGAAUACAGAAAAUACAGAAAAAAAUGUCAUCAUUUCCGAAGUGACAUUAUCGCAACCAGAUUGCAGCUGGUUCUUGGAAUCCAGAAGGCAGACAUAAAGGGUUUAGGAAUCUUGAGAAAGCAUGAAAACAUCUUUUCCAGUCUAGUGGCCAGCAAGUCCAAAUACACAAGGUUGAAAAAGUGGAUAAAAAAAUAUUAUUGUAUUUCCAA